UACGUAGGGUGCGAGCGUUGUCCGGAAUUAUUGGGCGUAAAGAGCUCGUAGGCGGUCUGUCGCGUCGAUCGUGAAAACUUGGGGCUUAACCCUGAGCUUGCGGUUGAUACGGGCAUGACUGGAGUUCGGCAGGGGAGACUGGAAUUCCUGGUGUAGCGGUGAAAUGCGCAGAUAUCUGGAGGAACACCGGUGGCGAAGGCGGCAUCCUGGACCGGUAUUGACGCUGAGGAGCGAAAGCCAGGGGAGCAAACGGG
rnacentral:rRNA from 1 species